UCUUUGGUGAUGUAGCUGUAUGA
rnacentral:miRNA from 1 species